rnacentral:lncRNA from 1 species
CAAUGGCUGGGUCUUGAAACGUCUUUUAAAAACUAUACUGCAACAGAUCCCCAUGUAAUACUUCUGUCUUCUAGCAGCCACGCAUCAGAUUCCUCAAGUCCAUUUGCUUCAGCCAGCCAAAAUAGCUGCGAAGAAACAUAUGAAGAUGUUGAGAUUGGGGGUGAUAAUCCAGUAAAAAUGGAAACAGGAAAACAAAAGAGAUUUGGAAACCUGCUUAAGAUAGAGAAGUUGAAGAUGAAGAAUACCAGGUUCAAGGAAAACUUAAGGUAGGAAAAUGUUGCUUGUCCAAUCCCUUUCCCCUCCAAACCUGAGCAUUCAAAUU